UGUUUAUCAUGCAUGCAUUAUAAUACUACAGGCGAUUUUUCUACUUAUUAUACUACAGAUCGACAGUCCUGUGACUGCCUAGUAAAACUAGGACGUAGUCCGACGCCGACGGUUUUUUUUUUUUUUUUUUUUUUUUUUUUUUUUUUUUUUUUUUUUUUUUUUUUUUAAGGAUUUUUUUUUUUUUUUUUCUUAUAUAUAUAUUAUUUUUU
rnacentral:misc_RNA from 1 species